rnacentral:lncRNA from 1 species
AGAAUAUAUAAAGGUUCAUACUGGCAUUGAGUAAUGCCAGGAGUCAAUAUUGCUAAGGUUAUAUUUUUCAUUUUAAAGAUCAACACCUCUAAAACAAGGUUACUGUAACAAGUCAAUUUUGACCUGAGUCUAAAAACCCGAAAUAGAUGAUGAUAAAGGCCCAAUUCCAUACCCAAAAAAUAACAAGGCGCAAAUGGCCCAAAAUUAAAACAAUUUCAGUAAAAAUCAGAAGCCUAGAAACCCUAAUGCGCCGUAUCUUGCUGCCCAUGUGCCUUCAGCGCGCACCACGCCCGAGGCCUACCACCGCCAGCUGACCUUACACCAAAACGGCAAGCCACACCUCUGCCUUCGCCAAGUACCUGCAAACAACACAAAAGAGGAAAUAACAGCAAGGCAAGAAAAAAGAAAAGCAAAGAAAUAGGAAAAGAUGUAAAACAUCCAGCUAUAAAAAGCCACAAUAUCACUGUAAUCGGGGGGUUCUUUUUCUUUUUUUCUUGUAACAUAUUCACAGAAAUAAAAGCAAAAAAAAAAAUCAAAGGUGAUUUCCUGGAUUUUCGAUUGCAAUCUUUCCUUUUUCUUUUUUUUUUCGUUGUAUUUAUUUUUUUAUCUUGAUUUUUCAAACGAAAACAAAAAAUAAAGAAAAAGGAAAAGGGGAAGAAUAAACUCACCUGAAUCGGCCCCUGAAUCCGGCGUCGUCAUCGGCUCUUCGCCGAACGCGGGUCAAGAAAGGGGCAGAGGCCUUCCAUUUUCUCCUCGUUUCCCCGUUUCAGAGGCUUGGUCUCUGAGCGCGCUCCAAUGCGCUGGUGGGAGACACCCUCACAUGGCUUCGGCCACCGGGCUGUAGGGAGGCGUGAUGGCGGUGGGGUUCCUAGCCUUGGAACCCUAGCAGAGAAAAGGGGUUCUCUCUUUACUUUAUUUUUGUGUUCUU